rnacentral:rRNA from 1 species
CCUACGGGGAGCAGCAGUGAGGAAUAUUGGUCAAUGGCCGGAAGGCUGAACCAGCCAUGCCGCGUGAAGGUCAGUGCCCUAUGGGCGUUAAACUUCUUUUGUGCGGGAGCAAUAAUGGUCACGUGUGGCCAGACGAGAGUACCGUACGAAUAAGCAUCGGCUAACUCCGGGCCAGCAGCCGCGGUAAUACGGGGGAUGCAAGCGUUAUCCGGAUUUAUUGGGGUUAAAGGGUGCGUAGGCUGGGAGGUAAGUCAGCGGUGAAAUGCCCCCGCUCAAAGGGGUGAAGUGCCAUUGAUACUGGCUUGCUUGAAUGCGGAUGCGGUAGGAGGAAUGUGUGGUGUAGCGGUGAAAUGCAUGGAUAUCACACAGAACACCGAUUGCGAAGGCAGCUCACGAAUCCGCGAUUGACGCUGAUGCACGAAAGCGUGGGUAUCAAACAGGAUUAGAUACCCUGGUAGUC